UUCAAAAUAUGUGGUUAAACAGAGAAUGUAUAUGCAUGGCUCCCACCAUAUGCUAUUUUGGUUUCUCUGAUUUUCUCAAACAAAAAAAAUUAACAUUACUUUCAGGUUUCCGAGAUGGUUUGCAUGAGACCCCAAAAGGGCAGGAAGGAAAAAGAGGAGAGGCAGAGGGUUCAAAGCAGAGGAUUUACAUUGUCAUUUUCUUCUGGUAUUGGAUUGUUCUUCGUCUGAUUUGCCUGGGAUUUUCGUUUGAAUCAACAUUUUUGAUUGGGACUUGAAAUUAACAUCCUUAUCUAUUAUCCAGAGGAAGUAAAAAAGACAGAGAAACAUGGAGUUGGUGGUAGAAAUGGGAG